rnacentral:rRNA from 1 species
UACGUAGGGACCAAGCGUUGUCCGGAAUCAUUGGGCGUAAAGCGCGCGUAGGCGGCCCGGUAAGUCCGUUGUAAAAGUCGAAGGCUCAACCUUCGAAAGCCGAUGGAUACUGCCGGGCUAGAGUACGGAAGAGGCGAGUAGAAUUCCUGGUGUAGCGGUGGAAUGCGCAGAUAUCAGGAGGAACACCGGUGGCGAAGGCGGGUCUCUGGGCAACAACUGACGCUGAGGAGCGAAAGCGUGGGGAGCGAACAGG